AAAAACCGUCCUCUGUGCGUACACACACUUUCAUACCACCCUUCUGUCCAUGGCGUUUGCACAGCAUAUGCAUACACACUAUUGUCCAUUUCCCUAUCCGUGCUUACGCACAAGCGUUAGUGCGUACGCACCCACAAUUCACCUCCUUCUGCUGGGAGCACCUGCAUAUUUGGUGCGUCCGCAUCCCUUUCACCUUCCCAUCACUUCUCCUUUCUUCUUCUAUGAGCCAACCAUUCACCAUUAUUAUCUUCAUCUUCUUCACCAUCAUCACCAUCCAUCACUGUCUCAGACCACCGCCCCUCACCCCAUCCCUUCUUCCUCUUCUCUCACCCCUCAUCUUCGAACCCGAGCCAAGGAUCACCGCAGCCCUUCUCUUUUCUGUGUCACCCUCUUCUCUUCUUCUUACCUCCGCCGAGCCUAGAAAUCACAGCUACCUUCUCAUCCCUCGUUCUUCCUGCUCACCGAACCGGAGGACCACCUAUCAGAGCUCCUUUUUGUCGAGCUCAACACCGACGCGCCAUACCCCUGUUCCCUCUCCUUCGUACGAAGCCCUUCCCCUCUCCUCUGAUUAUCAUCACCCCUUACCUCCGCCACCACAAUCGCGAACCCUAGCCCUGUCUCAAACUCCAGUCUCGACCACCGCGUUCAACCUCCUCCCUCUACCCUUUCUGUCGGCAUCAAGUGCAAUGGCGCUAGUAUCCUUGUCUCUCUCGUUCCUUCUGGUUUGAAGAGCAGAGCAAGUUCAUGCUCCUGUUCGCUUCGUCUGAGGUGGGUUCCAGCUGUUGCGAUACUACCUCUGUUUCUUUUCUGUGCCCCUCUUCCGCUGCUGCCAUUGAAGCAGUGCCACCACCGGGCCAGCUGGGUUGCUCCAGCCAUCCACUCACCAUCAUCCACCUUUCCUUCUCUUACUCUGUUCCAAUUCCUUCCUUCCAGCACCACUAUCACUCUUGUAACCACCCUAUCGCCUAACCUACCAACUGAAGGUGGAAGUGACCCAGUUACGAUUCCUUCCACUCCGCAUGAUCGUGAGCACCGAGGACGGUGCUACAUUUUAAGUGUGGAGAGGCUGUCCAUCUUCAGCAAGCACAUUUUGGGUGACAAGCUUCAUUUCUGAACACUUUUAGUGUAGUUUCUUUUUAUGUUUUUUUUGGUACUUAGUAUAUAUUUUAUCUUUUUGAGAAACUUUUUACUUAGCUUAUUGCACUUUUUAAUUUUGUUUGUACAUAACUUAGUAUUAUAUAGUAGUUAUGCAAAUUUUGGCAUUUUGCUCUUAAUCUUGGCUUUUACAUAUGCUUUUUAGUUUUUUUAGCUAUGAUUGUGAUUUUGGAUGAUGUGAUGAUUGCACCUAGUUUGGUUUCCUAUAUACUUGCUAUUUUGGUUUGAUAUUAGGAAUUAAACUUAGGAUUUUUGACCUUUUUCAUCCAAUCACAUUAUAUACAUAUAUAGAAUAAAUAUUAGUCAAUUUAAUGAAAUUUUCAAGAAACUUACUCUUUAUAUAGGGCAUUAAAAUUCAAAUUGAAUUGAGUUGAAAUUUUUCAUUGAAACUUGUAUGACUUAUACAUUGUGGAAUAUGGUUGAGUUAAAGAACACACAACUUGUGAGUUUUUGAGCCUCAUUGUGUGGUUGCAUUAUUCAACCACUUACUUUAUUCUUGUGUGUUGCUCUUCUCUGUGAUUGCAAUGUUAACCUUUGGUUUGUUUAAUUCUAUAUAUCCAUUGUUUAAUGUAUAUUAUGUAAUUAUGAGAUUGAGGCCAUUAUUCUUUUAUAACUCACUUAAACCAAAAAAGCCUACCAUUUCAUUUACCUUUGCUUGCCACUUUGAGCCUUUUUAAUCCCCUUUUGUUCUUUAUUUUGCCACAUCAUUAACCUUAAGCGAAAAACAAUGAAGUGUCCCUUAUUUGAAUCUUUGAGUAGCUUAAGUUAGUGAGAGUAUGUAAUGUUUAAGUGUGGAAAAAAUGUGAAAACUUUGGGUGAUGAAAAUGUGUUUUAUGAUUAUUAAAAAAUGUUGAAAAUUUGGGUACAUGCUCAUGUAAUAUUAUAGAAACCAUAUGCAUUGAUGAGUUGGUAUAUAUAUUAUGUUCUUGAAAAAAA